UAGCUCAGUCAGUUGAGCAUAGCGCUAACAAUGCUAAGGUCACAGGUUCGAUUCCCGU
rnacentral:tRNA from 1 species